CAGCAGCCGCGGUAAUACGAAGGUCCCGAGCGUUGUUCGGAAUCACUGGGCGUAAAGGGAGCGUAGGCGGCGUGGUAAGUCAGAUGUGAAAUCCCGGGGCUCAACCCCGGAACUGCAUCCGAUACUGCCGUGCUAGAGGAUUGGAGAGGUAGCUGGAAUUCUUGGUGUAGCAGUGAAAUGCGUGGAGAUCAAGAGGAACACUCGUGGCGAAAGCGAGCUACUGGACAAUAUCUGACGCUGAGGCUCGAAGGCCAGGGUAGCGAAAGGGAUUAGAGACCCCUGUAGUCCCUGUCUCUUAUAA
rnacentral:rRNA from 1 species